rnacentral:rRNA from 1 species
GUGGGGAAUUUUGGACAAUGGGCGCAAGCCUGAUCCAGCAAUGCCGCGUGCAGGAAGAAGGCCUUCGGGUUGUAAACUGCUUUUGUACGGAACGAAACGGUCCGGGUUAAUACCCUGGGCUAAUGACGGUACCGUAAGAAUAAGCACCGGCUAACUACGUGCCCGCAGCCGCGGUAAUACGCAGGGUUGAAUCGUCAAUCGGAAUUACUGGGCGUAAAGCGUGCGCAGGCGGUUUUGUAAGACAGGCGUGAAAUCCCCGGGCUCAACCUGGGAAUUGCGCUUGUGACUGCAAGGCUGGAGUGCGGCAGAGGGGGAUGGAAUUCCGCGUGUAGCAGUGAAAUGCGUAGAUAUGCGGAGGAACACCGAUGGCGAAGGCAAUCCCCUGGGCCUGCACUGACGCUCAUGCACGAAAGCGUGGGGAGCAAACAGGAUUAGAUACCCGGGUAGUCC